GGCUGGCUGUUACAGGACUGGGAUGGCAGAGCUGGACCUGAGGACGAGAGGCAUGUUGCCGUUUGGGGCUUUUUAGAGCAUACAGUUUUUCUCCGAGUUUUAUGCCUUUUCCCGAAGGGGUCGAAUAGCUGCCCUGGGUAUGCUAUUUUCUGUUCUCCAAACCAAAGAGACCAGGAUGCCAGUUCCAAAAGAAUCAUCAGGACUGUUGACUAGAAGACGGAAUGGAGAAUUGGAAUGAUCUUCACAGGUGAUGCAGAGCCCUCACUUGGAUCUCACCUGCUGCAAAACAGGCACCAAGAUCAGCUCCAGGAAAAGAAAUUCCUAAACGACAGCCACCCAUCUGCCCAAAGACUCCGUUCGGUCAUUGCGCAGUGUGCCCCCUGUGAGUCCCAAGUGGGAAUGGGGUGGAAUCCUCCUUGCCCUGGUCUUCCUCUUCAUUUCUUGUCACACCUCCCUGUCUGAGCUCUCUCACCUCUGACUGCCACUGCCUCUGUGGGCCGUUUCCCCCUCUGUGACUGGGAUGCUGUUUUCUUUGUUUGUCUUUCAUUUGACCCAAGACUUCCCAUACAAUAUCCAGGUCAAAGGGGGCAUAGGGUAGAAUGUGUCCCUUGUCAAGUACAGUUAGGAUACUUUGGUGUCACAUAAGCCCCAAGCCCCUGAAAUAUAAAAACAGGGAUAAAAAACACAAGAAUCAAAUAUGCCAAAGGUGCCUGAGAUGUUGGCCAAGAUGAGUGAGCACUGAAGAGUGUCUGCGGGAUCAGGAAGUAUGGAUUUUAAUGAUGGGCUUGACAAUGCCAGUUACAGUGGAAUGACUGGGAUAAAAGCUUCGUGGAAGGGGGCUGAGUAGAGAAUAUCUCAGCAGAAUUUGAAGCAGUUUUGUUUUGAAGGGCAACAGGUGAAGUGCCAGUAGCUACAGAAUAGGGUGGUAGAAGAGGAUGGGUUUCCCCCUGUUUUGUGGAAUGCUGCGGUGUAGAGGGAGCAGGGGCUGGUUCAGGCGAGAGGGGUGAUAACUGUAGGUUGGAAGUCCCUGGGAAGGUGCAAGGCAUGGGAUCCCGGGCAGAGGUGAGGGGCUGGGUGCAGUCAGUAGGACUCGGGCAGACGGGCAACAUACUGCCAGGGCAGAAACAUGCACUUUGGGAUUGGGAAACUUGAGAAAUCCCACUGAGUUGCUGCUUGCUUCUCCGCCAAUUAUUGGCAGGUUGGGCUGGUGGUCAUUAUGAUGGAGGAAGGUUACUACUGUGUAGUGUAGUAGUGUAGGUAGGUGAGAGUGAAAACGAACAGCUGGCCACGGGUUUAAGAUAAAAAACUUAUGUAAGGUUGUAAAGUUUGCUCCUCAACGCUCAUGUGCUCAGACACAGGCAGGGAGUGAAUAGUCAGGAGUCUGCAAGGAUCCAAUCCGAUCGGGGAGGGGCCUGGCGGAAGGUAUGGAAGGUCGUGUGGUAGUAGAGGUGAGCGUUUCCAGGAUGUUCUGUUAUCCGUGCACUGGCCCUAGAGCUAGGGAGCUGGAGGACAGGACAGCGUGUUGAGGGUGAUGAGAGGGAAGAAGGCUAGAAACAGCAGACCAUGAGGGGCGCGGUCUUUCCUGAUGCCCGGGGCCGGGGUCGGU